UUGAAUUUCAACCUUAUAUUACAAAGCAGAAAAUAUAAUACAUUUCUUAAUUGCAUUUUACUAAUCUUGAGUUUUUUGAGGUUUUGGGACAAUCCACAAAUUUUGAAAUCCUCUCAAGUCAGUGAUACAAUUAGUCAAUUAGGACUAGGAAAUGUUAACACCGACUCAUAUACACCUAUUAACAUACAUCCAUAUAGAUUUUCGUUUCUUUUGGAAUUCCAGACUUUAACGUGUUAAACAACGAACAAACUCUAAUAUGUCUCUGCAUCUCUUUCACACUUGCAAAGUGGUCGUUGGCGUCGGCGCAACUUCGACGAUUUUGCAGCGCAGCAACGGAUUUUUACCUCCAGAAAAUCGGCGCCGCGUCGUCGCCAUUCAAUUAACUUUUAUUUCGAUUACCACACACAUGUGUAUUGCUCACCAUUUACUAAUGUAAAAGCUAUUUGCAAUGAAAUGCAAUUUUAUCACGGGCACUCUUCAAAACAGGUUAAAUAUGUAAUUAUAUUUACUGCAAUUCUUCCGAAUUCCGCACAAUACAAACGUGAAUAAAAUUUACAACACAACGACUCGAAUGAAAAUUCACAACUGAAUUCCCACUAAUCCAUUGGAAUUGCACGAACUCGAGUAACAACAAAACCAAACAACUGUCAAACAAAGAAUGACAGUGGAAUGGGAAAAAGAGAUCGCGGCAGAGAACGUACGGACUGCAGGCAGAGAACGUACGUGCUCUAACUGAAUUUUUGAAUAAGUUUCCGUGGCCCUCAAACUUUAAAUGCAUCAAAAUAGGAGUGUGACCUUACUAACAUGUUUAGUGCUCGUGGAAUGCAGCAUAGCAAAUAUAUGUAGUUAAACCAGAGAACGUAUAUGACGUUCAGAGAACGUUUAUAAUAGAGAAGGUUCACGGCACGAAGAACGUAAAAAUAUUUUUCGAUAACUCGAUAACUUCGAUGGAGGAGUUUCACCACUGCCAGAUCAGCAGGAGAA